GGUCGCUCGCUUGUGUGAAGUCGCAUGUGCGAAAAAAGUUUUCUUUCAUCACAAAAGUCCUUUCCGCAUUCAGUGCAUUUGUGAGGCCGGUCACCAGUGUGAAUAUUUUCGUGGGUUUUCAAACGUGAUUUGGAGAGCGAAAAGCGAACGUUUGCUGUAAAUUGACGAAAAUCAAUCAUCACACGAAGUAAAAUGGAAUUUUUCCCUGCACGAAAGGGGAUACCAAAGCAGGAAGAACCAGAAAACAGUUCUGUAGCCUCUUUCCCGUCGUCCGCACCAACAAUCGAUUCUCCAAUAAAACUCGAAUAUGAGAUUGGUGAUGAGGAAUUCACACAGAAAAAUGAUCUCCAUCUCGAAUACCAGAUUUGUGAUGAGGAAUUCACAAAGGAAGGUGACCUUAAAUUAGAAUAUCAGAUUUGUGAUGAGGAAUUCACACAGCAAAGUGAUCUUCAUGAAGACGUCUUCGUACCUAAAGAGGAACAGGGUCAUAGUUGCGAAGUUUGCGGGAAACAAUUUUCAAUGAAGAAAACCCUGAACAAGCAUAUGAUCGUUCAUACUGAAAACCAACAAUUUCAGUGUAAUGUGUGUGGUAAAGAAUUCCGGUAUUAUCAGCAACUAAAGGACCACGCAAAUAUUCACACUGGUGAGCGUCCAUACAGUUGCACUGCAUGCGAAAAAAAAUUCUCGUCUAACGCGAUACUUAUUCGACACAUGCUCAUUCACACAAGCCAGCGUUCGUACGAAUGCAUUGUAUGCGGAAAAAAAUUUGCCAUUAAGUGUUAUUUAACUAGACACAUGUCUAUUCACCAAAGCGAGUAUAAAUAUAAGUGCGAAGUGUGUGGCAAAACCUUCCAUAAUGGUGCUUACCUCGCAAAACAUGAACGCAUUCAUAUGUACGAGGGCCUUAAAUGCAUCAUAUGCGAGAAAGAUUAUUGCAAUACGUAUUAUCUCCGCAAACACAUGAAAAUUCACGUGGGUGAUUACGAGCAUAAGUGCGAUGUGUGUGGCAAAGCCUUUAUUAGUGAUGCUAAACUCGCGAGCCACCAACGCAUUCAUACGAACGAGAAGUUUAAAUGCACCAUUUGCGGGAAAGAUUAUAUCACUAAGCAUAAUCUCAACAUACACAUGAAAAUUCACGUGGAUGGCUUCGAGCAUAAGUGCGAUGUGUGCGGUAAAGGAUUCAAGUAUAGUUCAUUGUUAAAGGACCACGAAUACAGUCAUACAGGUCAACGGCCUUAUAAAUGCACAGUGUGCGGAAAAGAUUUUAACGGCAAAAUAAAUCUUUCUAUACACAUGAAACGUCACACAAGCGAACGACCUCACAAAUGUCCGUUUUGCGAGAAAGGUUUUUCCACGAAGACAUACUUAUCCAAACACAUUAGUAUGCAUACUGAAGAUUACGAACAUAAGUGUGACGUGUGUGACAAAGGAUUCUUGUCCAGAUCACUCUUGGAAGACCACGAGCGUAGUCAUACAGGAGAGCGACCGUUCAAAUGCAUCGUUUGUAGAAAAGAAUUUGUCAGCGAGAGUACUUUAAGGCAACACCAAAGUGAGUGCAAAUAUAAGUGCGAAUUGUGUGGCAAAGUCUUUCUCGAUGGUUCUUACCUCGCAAAACACAAACGCUUCCAUACAAACAAGAAGUUUAAAUGCACUAUAUGCGAGAAAGGUUAUUCCAAUGAGUAUGAACUCAGCAGACACAUGGAUAUUCAUUUGAACGGUUACAAGCAUAAGUGUGAUGUGUGCGGCAAAGGAUUCGUCUGCAAAUCACUUUUGAAAGAUCACAAUAAUAGUCACACAGGUGAACGGCCUUACAAAUGCACUGUAUGCGGAAAAGAUUUUUAUCAAAAAGUAUCACUUUUUUUACACAUGCGCAUGCACACAACCGAGCAACCGCACAAAUGCACCUUAUGUGGAAAAGAAUUUGCCAUCAAGAAGUACCUAAUUAAACACAUGUCCAUUCAUCAAAGUGUGUACAAGUACAAGUGCGAAGUGUGUGGCAAAGGCUUUCAUGAUGGUUCUAACCUUACAAAACACAAACUCCGUCAUACCUAAAUGAGCAAAUGCUUAGCCACACGGCAUCAACAUGGUCUGGCUGGAUACAUGCGCCGUCAUGCGACUUAAAGCUGCAUCUUCACAGGCAACUUACAACUUCCGUGGCCAUUCGAAAAUGCUGUGGGGAACUUACUCGAAAAGUUAUAUCACUUAUCGCGGAACGAUAGUAGUAAAUGGGAUUUCUAUAGCAAAUUCAGCAGCUAGAAGUUCUAUAUGGAAGAUCUACAAUAGAACAGAAACUGGAACAAACGUAUCCCCAGCAAGCCGUUCUAGUUU